rnacentral:rRNA from 1 species
CCUACGGGAGGUAGCAGUGGGGAAUAUUGCACAAUGGGCGCAAGCCUGAUGCAGCGACGCCGCGUGCGGGAUGGAGGCCUUCUGGUUGUAAACCUCUUUUGUUCAAGGGCAAGGCACGGUCUUUGGCCGUGUUGAGUGGAUUGUUCGAAUAAGCACCGGCUAACUACGUGCCAGCAGCCGCGGUAAUACGGAGGGUGCAAGCGUUAUCCGGAUUUAUUGGGCGUAAAGGGCGCGUAGGCGGUUCGUCGCGUCCGGUGUGAAAGGCCAUGGCUUAACGGUGGAUCCGCGCCGGGUACGGGCUGGCUUGAGUGCGGGAGGGGAGAGUGGAAUGCCUGGUGUAGCGGUGGAAUGUGUAGAUAUCGGGAAGAACACCGAUGGCGAAGGCAGGUCUCUGGGCCGUUACUGACGCUGAGGAGCGAAAGCGUGGGGAGCGAACAGGAUUAGAUACCCGUGUAGUC